rnacentral:rRNA from 1 species
UACGGAGGGGGGCCAGCGUUGUUCGGAAUCAUUGGGCGUAAAGGGCGCGUAGGCGGCCGACCAAGUCGGAGGUGAAAAUCCCCUCGGCUCAACUGAGGAAUUGCCUCCGAUACUGUUCGGCUUGAGUCCUGGAGAGGGUAGUGGAAUUCCCAGUGUAGCGGUGAAAUGCGUAGAGACUGGGAAGAACACCAGUGGCGAAGGCGGCUACCUGGACAGGUACUGACGCUGAAGCGCGAAAGCUAGGGGAGCAAACAGG